GGAUAAGUUAGAAAGGGCGCACGGUGAAUGCCUUGGCACUAGGAGCCGAUGAAGGACGCGACGAACCGCGAUAGGCUUCGGGGAGCUGUAAGUAAGCUUCGAUCCGGAGAUUUCCGAAUGGGGGAACCCACCAUCCGUAAUGGGAUGGUACUGACAUCUGAACACAUAGGAUGUCGAGAGGCAGACCCGGGGAACUGAAACAUCUAAGUACCCGGAGGAAGAGAAAGCAAAUGCGAUUUCCUGAGUAGCGGCGAGCGAAACGGAAACAGCCCAAACCAAGAGGCUUGCCUCUUGGGGUUGUAGGACACUCAAUAACGGAGUGAUCAAGAAACGGAGUAGGUGAACUGUCUGGAAAGGCAGGCCGAAGAAGGUAACAGCCCUGUAGCUGAAACUUCGUUUCCUCCAGAGUGGAUCCUGAGUACGGCGGGACACGUGAAACC
rnacentral:rRNA from 1 species